UCCCCGUUACCGGGGCAGUCUGAAUAGAAAAAUACAACUAUUCAUAAGGGUUGCGCUCGUUGAUGGACUUAACCAAACAUCUCACGACACGAGCUGACGACGGCCAUGCAACACCUGUCACCUAGUUCAAUAAAGCACUCACUACUUUCGUAGUAAUUCUAGGGAUGUCAAGCCCUGGUAAGGUUCUUCGUUUACCAUCGAAUUAAAGAACAUGAUCCACCGCUUGUGCGGGUCCCCGUCAAUUCCUUUAUGUUUUAGCCUUGCGGCCGUACUCCACAGGCGGGAUGCUUAACGCGUUAGCUUCGCUACUGAAGGGGUCGAUACCUCCAACAACUAGCAUCCAUCGUUUACGGCGUGGACUAC
rnacentral:misc_RNA from 1 species